rfam:Aedes albopictus isolate Foshan contig83242, whole genome shotgun sequence.
UGCGCAGCAACUCCUAUCCCUACCUCCGCGUGGUACCAGCCGGACUGCGAGCUACCUUGGGGAAGAUCGGGUAACCAACCUCGGUUGGAACUUUGGUCGUAGGCUGAUAGGGAAGG